AUAUCUCUCCGUACGGGAAGGAUGAGAAGCUUCGACUAAGGUUCGAUUCGAGCGCAGCGAGAACGCGUUGCCGCAGGCAACGACCCGA
rnacentral:sRNA from 4 species